GUGGGGAAUAUUGCACAAUGGGCGCAAGCCUGAUGCAGCGACGCCGCGUGAGGGAUGACGGCCUUCGGGUUGUAAACCUCUUUCAGUACAGACGAAGCGUAAGUGACGGUAUGUACAGAAGAAGCACCGGCCAACUACGUGCCAGCAGCCGCGGUAAUACGUAGGGUGCGAGCGUUGUCCGGAAUUACUGGGCGUAAAGAGCUCGUAGGUGGUUUGUCGCGUUGUUCGUGAAAACCGGGGGCUUAACCCUCGGCGUGCGGGCGAUACGGGCAGACUUGAGUACUGCAGGGGAGACUGGAAUUCCUGGUGUAGCGGUGGAAUGCGCAGAUAUCAGGAGGAACACCGGUGGCGAAGGCGGGUCUCUGGGCAGUAACUGACGCUGAGGAGCGAAAGCGUGGGGAGCGAACAGGAUUAGAAACCCGAGUAGUCC
rnacentral:rRNA from 1 species